CGCAUUCACUACUGUAAGUUGCUCUGGAUAAGAGCGUCUACUAAAUGACUAAAA
rfam:Salmo salar isolate Sally breed double haploid chromosome ssa25, whole genome shotgun sequence.